UUUACCUACGGGACGCAGCAGUGGGGAAUAUUGCACAAUGGGGGAAACCCUGAUGCAGCGACGCCGCGUGAGCGAUGAAGUAUUUCGGUAUGUAAACCUCUAUCAGCAGGGAAGAAAAUGACGGUACCUGACUAAGAAGCCCCGGCUAACUACGUGCCAGCAGCCGCGGUAAUACGUAGGGGGCAAGCGUUAUCCGGAUUUACUGGGUGUAAAGGGCGUGUAGGCGGGGACGCAAGUCAGAUGUGAAAACCACGGGCUCAACCUGUGGCC
rnacentral:rRNA from 1 species